rnacentral:rRNA from 1 species
UACGUAGGGUGCAAGCGUUGUCCGGAAUUAUUGGGCGUAAAGCGCGUGUAGGCGGCUCGAUAAGUCUGCUGUGAAAGUCCAGGGCUCAACCCUGGGAUGCCGGUGGAUACUGUCGAGCUCGAGUCCGGAAGAGGCGAGUGGAAUUCCUGGUGUAGCGGUGAAAUGCGCAGAUAUCAGGAGGAACACCAAUGGCGAAGGCAGCUCGCUGGGACGUGACUGACGCUGAGACGCGAAAGCGUGGGGAGCAAACAGG